UACGUAGGGGGCAAGCGUUGUCCGGAAUCAUUGGGCGUAAAGAGCGUGUAGGCGGCCCGAUAAGUCCGCUGUGAAAGUCCAGGGCUCAACCUGGGGGCUGCGUUUGAUACGUGCGGACUUGAGUGCGGAAGAGGGUCGUGGAAUUCCCAGUGGUAGAGGUGAAAUGCGUAGAGAUCGGGAGGAACACCCGUGGCGAAGGCGGCCAUCUGGACCAGCACUGACGCUGAGGCACGAAAGCGUGGGGAGCAAACAGG
rnacentral:rRNA from 1 species